CGGAGGAUCCAAGCGUUAUCCGGAUUUAUUGGGUUUAAAGGGUGCGUAGGCGGCUUAUUAAGUCAGGGGUGAAAGACGGUGGCUCAACCAUCGCAGUGCCCUUGAUACUGAUGAGCUUGAAUGGACUAGAGGUAGGCGGAAUGUGACAAGUAGCGGUGAAAUGCAUAGAUAUGUCACAGAACACCGAUUGCGAAGGCAGCUUACUAUGGUUUAAUUGACGCUGAGGCACGAAAGCGUGGGGAUCAAACAGGAUUAGAUACCCUGGUAGUCCACGCCCUAAACGAUGAAUACUCGCUGUUAGCGAUAUACAGUUAGCGGCUAAGCGAAAGCGUUAAGUAUUCCACCUGGGGAUACGCCCGCAAGGGUG
rnacentral:rRNA from 1 species